rnacentral:tRNA from 1 species
AGUAAAGUCAGCUAAUUAAAAAAGCUAUUGGGUUCAUACCCCGAAAAUAAACAAAUGUUUCUUUAUUA